AGUGAACGCUGGCGGCGUGCUUAACACAUGCAAGUCGAACGAGAACGGAUUAUAGCUUGCUAUAAUUGUCAGCUAAGUGGCGCACGGGUGAGUAAUGUAUAGAUAACCUGCCCUUAAGAAAGGAAUAACAGUUGGAAACGACUGCUAAUGCCCUAUAUGCCUUUAAUACAUAAGUAUGCAAGGGAAACGCUUUAGUGCUUAAGGAUGGGUCUGUAUGGUAUCAGCUUGUUGGUGAGGUAAUGGCUCACCAAGGCUAUGACGCCUAACUGGUUUGAGAGGAUGAUCAGUCACACUGGAACUGAGACACGGUCCAGACUCCUACGGGAGGCAGCAGUGGGGAAUAUUGCACAAUGGACGAAAGUCUGAUGCAGCAACGCCGCGUGGAGGAUGACACAUUUCGGUGCGUAAACUCCUUUUAUAUAGGAAGAUAAUGACGGUACUAUAUGAAUAAGCACCGGCUAACUCCGUGCCAGCAGCCGCGGUAAUACGGAGGGUGCAAGCGUUACUCGGAAUCACUGGGCGUAAAGAGCGUGUAGGCGGGUAUAUAAGUCAGAAGUGAAAUCCAAUAGCUUAACUAUUGAACUGCUUUUGAAACUGUAUACCUAGAAUGUGGGAGAGGUAGAUGGAAUUUCUGGUGUAGGGGUAAAAUCCGUAGAGAUCAGAAGGAAUACCGAUUGCGAAGGCGAUCUACUGGAACAUUAUUGACGCUGAGACGCGAAAGCGUGGGGAGCAAACA
rnacentral:rRNA from 1 species